GCCUGAAUAGCUCAGUUGGUAGAGCAGCGCAUUCGUAAUGCGAAGGUCGCGGGUUCGAUUCCUGUUUCAGGCA
rnacentral:tRNA from 1 species